rnacentral:tRNA from 1 species
GCCUUCGUGGUGUAAUUGGGAGCGUACUCAACACGUAUUCGAGAGGUCCAGGGUUUGAAUCCCAGCGAAGGCA